rnacentral:rRNA from 1 species
GACGAACCGUGCGAACGUUAUUCGGAAUCACUGGGCUUAAAGCGCGUGUAGGCGGAUGGGAACGUCGGUAGUUGAAAGCCCCCGGCUCAACCGGGGAAGUGGUGCCGAAACGACCCGUCUGGAGGGACGUAGGGGGACCUGGAACUUCCGGUGGAGCGGUGAAAUGCGUUGAGAUCGGAAGGAACGCCCGUGGCGAAAGCGAGGUCCUGGACGUCUACUGACGCUGAGACGCGAAAAGCUAGGGGAGCAAACGGGGAUUAAGAAACCCC